GUUGAUAAGGUUAAGUGAAUAAGGGCGCACGGUGGAUGCCUUGGCACUAGGAGCCGAUGAAGGACGGGACUAACACCGAUAUGCUUUGGGGAGCUGUACGUAAGCUAUGAUCCAGAGAUUUCCGAAUGGGGGAACCCAACAUCUUUAAUAGGAUGUUACGAUUGUGUGAAUACAUAGCACAUUCGAGGUAGACGCAGAGAACUGAAACAUCUAAGUACCUGCAGGAAGAGAAAGAAAAUUCGAUUCCCUGAGUAGCGGCGAGCGAAACGGGAAAAGCCCAAACCAGCAAGCUUGCUUGUUGGGGUUGUAGGACUCCAAUAUGGUAGUUCUUUCAGAUAGUCGAAUGACUUGGAAAAGUCAGUCAAAGAGGGUAAAAACCCCGUAGACGAAAUGUGGAAGACACCUAGGAGGAUCCUGAGUACGGCGGAACACGAGAAAUUCCGUCGGAAUCCGGGAGGACCAUCUCCCAAGGCUAAAUACUCCCUAGUGACCGAUAGUGAACCAGUACCGUGAGGGAAAGGUGAAAAGCACCCCGGAAGGGGAGUGAAAUAGAACCUGAAACCGUGUGCCUACAACAAGUCAAAGCCCGUUAAUGGGUGAUGGCGUGCCUUUUGUAGAAUGAACCGGCGAGUUACGAUUGCAUGCGAGGUUAAGUUGAAGAGACGGAGCCGCAGCGAAAGCGAGUCUGAAUAGGGCGUUUGAGUAUGUAGUCGUAGACCCGAAACCAUGUGAUCUACCCAUGUCCAGGUUGAAGGUGCGGUAAAACGCACUGGAGGACCGAACCCACGUACGUUGAAAAGUGCGGGGAUGAGGUGUGGGUAGCGGAGAAAUUCCAAACGAACUUGGAGAUAGCUGGUUCUCUCCGAAAUAGCUUUAGGGCUAGCCUCGGAAUUGAGAAUGAUGGAGGUAGAGCACUGUUUGGACUAGGGGCCCAUCUCGGGUUACCGAAUUCAGAUAAACUCCGAAUGCCAUUCAUUCAUAUCCGGGAGUCAGACUGUGAGUGAUAAGAUCCAUAGUCGAAAGGGAAACAGCCCAGACCACCAGCUAAGGUCCCAAAAUAUAUGUUAAGUGGAAAAGGAUGUGGGGUUGCACAGACAACUAGGAUGUUGGCUUAGAAGCAGCCACCAUUUAAAGAGUGCGUAAUAGCUCACUAGUCGAGUGACCCUGCGCCGAAAAUGUACCGGGGCUAAACAUAUUACCGAAGCUGUGGAGUACACCUUUAGGUGUAUUGGUAGGAGAGCGUUCUAAGGGCGUUGAAGGCAGAUCGUGAGGACUGCUGGAGC
rnacentral:rRNA from 1 species